UACGAAGGGGGGCUAGCGUUGCUCGGAAUCACUGGGCGUAAAGGGUGCGUAGGCGGGUCUUUUAAGUCAGGGGUGAAAUCCUGGAGCUCAACUCCAGAACUGCCUUUGAUACUGGCGAUCUUGAGUCCGGGAGAGGUGAGUGGAACUGCGAGUGUAGAGGUGAAAUUCGUAGAUAUUCGCAAGAACACCAGUGGCGAAGGCGGCUCACUGGCCCGGUACUGACGCUGAGGUGCGAAAGCGUGGGGAGCAAACAGG
rnacentral:rRNA from 1 species